UACGGGGGAUGCAAGCGUUAUCCGGAAUCAUUGGGCGUAAAGCGCCUGUAGGUUGUUUAAUAAGUCUGUUGUUAAAGACUGGGGCUUAACCCCAGGAAAGCAAUGGAAACUACUAGACUAGAGUAUGGUAGGGGUAAAGGGAAUUUCUAGUGUAGCGGUGAAAUGCGUAGAUAUUAGAAAGAACACCAGUGGCGAAAGCGCUCUACUGGACCAUUACUGACACUCAGAGGCGAAAGCUAGGGUAGCAAAAGGGAUUAGAUACCCCUGUAGUCCUAGCCGUAAACGAUGGAUACUAGAUGUUGUACAUAAAGUACAGUAUCGUAGCUAACGCGUUAAGUAUCCCGCCUGGGGAGUACGCUCGCAAGGGUG
rnacentral:rRNA from 1 species